rnacentral:rRNA from 1 species
GACGAACGCUGGCGGCGUGCUUAACACAUGCAAGUCGAACGGAAAGGCCCUGCUUUUGUGGGGUGCUCGAGUGGCUAACGGGUGAGUAACACGUGAGUAACCUGCCCUUGACUUUGGGAUAACUUCAGGAAACUGGGGCUAAUACCGGAUAGGAGCUCCUGCUGCAUGGUGGGGGUUGGAAAGUUUCGGCGGUUGGGGCUGGACUCGCGGCUUAUCAGCUUGUUGGUGGGGUAGUGGCUUACCAAGGCUUUGACGGGUAGCCGGCCUGAGAGGGUGACCGGCCACAUUGGGACUGAGAUACGGCCCAGACUCCUACGGGAGGCAGCAGUGGGGAAUAUUGCACAAUGGGCGGAAGCCUGAUGCAGCAACGCCGCGUGCGGGAUGACGGCCUUCGGGUUGUAAACCGCUUUCGCCUGUGACGAAGCGUGAGUGACGGUAAUGGGUAAAGAAGCACCGGCUAACUACGUG